rnacentral:lncRNA from 1 species
UGUGCCCACUGCCAUCUCAUUCCAGUGCCGCCCUGAGACUCUACCUUCUCCAGGCCUCAGGAAAUAACAAGUAUCAUCUCUUGCUGAAGAAUCGGGAUCCUUUAUCUAGCUCAGGGAUCAGAGCAGACAUCCUGAUUCCUGCAAUUCAUG